CGCUGCGCGUGCUAACACAUGCAAGUCGACGAUGAAGCCCUUCGGGGUGGAUUAGUGGCGAACGGGUGAGUAACACGUGGGCAAUCUGCCCUUCACUCUGGGACAAGCCCUGGAAACGGGGUCUAAUACCGGAUAACACUCUGUCCCGCAUGGGACGGGGUUGAAAGCUCCGGCGGUGAAGGAUGAGCCCGCGGCCUAUCAGCUUGUUGGUGGGGUAAUGGCCUACCAAGGCGACGACGGGUAGCCGGCCUGAGAGGGCGACCGGCCACACUGGGACUGAGACACGGCCCAGACUCCUACGGGAGGCAGCAGUGGGGAAUAUUGCACAAUGGGCGAAAGCCUGAUGCAGCGACGCCGCGUGAGGGAUGACGGCCUUCGGGUUGUAAACCUCUUUCAGCAGGGAAGAAGCGAAAGUGACGGUACCUGCAGAAGAAGCGCCGGCUAACUACGUGCCAGCAGCCGCGGUAAUACGUAGGGCGCAAGCGUUGUCCGGAAUUAUUGGGCGUAAAGAGCUCGUAGGCGGCUUGUCACGUCGGAUGUGAAAGCCCGGGGCUUAACCCCGGGUCUGCAUUCGAUACGGGCUAGCUAGAGUGUGGUAGGGGAGAUCGGAAUUCCUGGUGUAGCGGUGAAAUGCGCAGAUAUCAGGAGGAACACCGGUGGCGAAGGCGGAUCUCUGGGCCAUUACUGACGCU
rnacentral:rRNA from 1 species